UACGGGGGGGGGCAAGCGUUGUUCGGAAUUACUGGGCGUAAAGGGCUCGUAGGUGGCCAACUAAGUCAUACGUGAAAUCCCUCGGCUUAACCGGGGAACUGCGUCUGAUACUGGAUGGCUUGAGUUUGGGAGAGGGAUGCGGAAUUCCAGGUGUAGCGGUGAAAUGCGUAGAUAUCUGGAGGAACACCAAUAGCGAAGGCAGCUCGCUGGGACGGUACUGACACUAAGGCGCGAAAGCGUGGGGAGCGAACAGG
rnacentral:rRNA from 1 species